GAUGAACGCUGGCGGCGUGCCUAAUACAUGCAAGUCGAGCGAACGGACGAGAAGCUUGCUUCUCUGAUGUUAGCGGCGGACGGGAGAGUAACACGUGGAUAACCUACCUAUAAGACUGGGAUAACUUCGGGAAACCGUAGCUAAUACCGGAUAAUAUUUUGAACCGCAUGGUUCAAAAGUGAAAGACGGUCUUGCUGUCACUUAUAGAUGGAUCCGCGCUGCAUUAGCUAGUUGGUAAGGUAACGGCUUACCAAGGCAACGAUGCAUAGCCGACCUGAGAGGCUGAUCGGCCACACUGGAACUUAGACACGGUCCAGACGCCUGCGGGAGGCAGCAGAAGGGAAUCUUCCGCAAUGGUCGAAAGCCUGACGGAGCAACGCGGCGUGAGAGAUGAAGGUCUUCGGAUCGUAAAACUCUGUUAUUAGGGAAGAACAUAUGUGUCAGUAAAUGUGCACAGCGUGACGGUACCUAAUCAGAAAGCCACGGCUAACUACGUG
rnacentral:rRNA from 1 species